CAUGACCACUAUCAAAAACACAGUGUCUGGACAGCUCAAGUUGGGAUAACUUGGGGGAAAAUCAUUUCCUGAAUAUUGUAGUUAUCAAUCAAGAAAGAAAACAGCACUUCCUUUUAUUGGUGGUUGGAAAGUACUAUUGCUCAGUUAUUACAAAUGGAGCUGUCAAACUGGUGUGACAUGUGCUGAACUCCUGCUUUAGAAGAGAUGCACCGAUUCUCUGAGGGACCUGCAUUGGCUCUCAGUAACACACAGUUACUGGAACUGGUGUUGGACUGGAGUACCCCACAGAAGGAUGCGGGGUCUGAAGACAGUAUUUCUAUUUAUGGAAAUCUAGACGUGAUUUUUAAUCUUUUGAGAGGAGUGACAAAGAAUGCAUGUGAGACUGUGCCCAAGAUUUUUGAUUCAGAUAUCAUUAUAUUAAAAUAAAUGUUCUAACAUUCUAACGAGCUGGUUCAAGACUAUUUUUGGAGCACUUUCAUUCCUGCCCUUUUGCAACCCUCUGUUACACUACACCUAUAUGUUAAAUGAUCAAUAACUUCUUUCUGAAGUCCCUGCACAACCCAAUUCUUACCCACCCUAAAAGAAAAAUCCAAGUUAUAAUAAUGUAUUUACAAAAAAGCAUGGCUUAUUGUCAAAAAUCUUUUUGCAUUUAAAAGAAUGAGAUACUAAACCUUUUAUUUACAGCAAUGGGUAGGGGUGAGAUGAAAGAGGUGGCAGGGGUUUUCACCCCAACUUUUUACUUACCUACCUCCACCCACUCUAGAAGUUUGUUCCCAGGGGAGCGAUCCCUUUGAAAUAUAAAUGUUGACUCUCCUAGAUAUUGAUGGCCAUAUUACCCACCCACCAGCCAAUCAGAGUCAGCUUUGGGAAAUGGUCUCUCUCCAACCCUACACAGCAAUCAGUCUAUGAUACUUAAAAGGCUUUAUUUGCCAAAGAAUACUUCACAGUGUGGCAGAGAACACCAGAGUCCAGUGUGAAAUGAUGCUGUGUCUCCUUUUGUCUUAUGAGGGCAGUGAAGACUAAAGCUUCAGAUGGUUCAUAGGUGCUAAGAGGCAGAUGUACAUUUAAGGGAAGGAGAGAUCAGUCAGAAUACCAAAGAAAAUUAAUUUCAUUUCUUACAAAUGAACCCUGCAGAAUGCUUAUAUCUAAUAUACCAUUGCCGUAUAUGUUGCAAUUCGAAGUAUCAACUGAAAAAAUUCAGCCAUUCAGCAGGCAAAAACUUCAUUUAUGUAGACCAACUGACAAAGGCAAUGGCUGCUGUUUCUGGAUUCUAUGGUGAACCUGGAUGACAUGUUAUGGACAGUUUAAUGGUAAAAGCUAAGACAUUGGGGAAUGUCAGGGUGUACUCACUCUGACAAACACAGCACCGGCUAGACUAAACUCUUAUUCAUUCAUAUCAUGGUGAAGAUUAAAUCACAAAAGCCCCUGAGUUUAGAUUUUUCUUUUGCUAGAAGGGUCGUUAAAAAUGUGUGCAUGUACGUGUAUAUAAAAACACUUUUACAGGGUUUUACUUUAUAUAAAUUUUGUGUUUUGUGUGUUUUGAUUCCUUGUGGGAUCUGGAUUCUGCCCUUAUCACUCUCAGAACAGGUAAGGGAGCUUUUCUGCCCAUUACUUUCUUUGUGGGAUAUAUCAUAAAGUGCUCUGGUGAAUGAGUUGGGCAAUACCAAAUACUAUAAAUCUGGAAGAGAGCAGGUAAGGGUCAGAUAGGAAUGGAUACUUUAGAAAGAACGCUCCAUGGAUAGAAACUGUUCCUUACUCUGAUCCUUUGAAUUGCAUUAGCACCUGGUUUGUGAGGAUCUCAAAACACUUAACAGACAGACUGAUAAUUGACAACGGCGUUAAUUAAUUAGUUAAGUAAUUAACAGCAUUAAUUCAUUUUUUAUGUUUCUGCUUUAAGCCUCACAAUAUCCCUGUGAGGUAGGUAAAUAGCAUUCUGGCCCCAUUUUUCCCUCCCCCCAACACAUACACCCACUCCCACCAUGAUUCUGGCAAGAGGUGGAAUGGAUUACAUAAUGUUAUACACAGUGAAUUCAUGAUUGAGCUGGGGAACAAAUAGGAAAGUCCAAUCUCUUAGUCCUCAGCUCUUAACCACACAGGAAAUGCUCUCUCCAGAACACACAAAGGCAGGACAGGCUUGGAAAGAGUUUAUAAAGCACAAGUGAGGGGUAUUUUUUGUUUUGUUUUGUUUUUCUAAAAAUUCAAUUUUUUUUAAAAAAAAAUCUUUGUUGCUUUAUACCAGAUGGUGCCUUAUUUGGCAAUAUGACCCUGGCCCAAUAUUUAAUUGAUUUUCAAUAUACUUGUAUAUGUGUAUGGAUGGAUGGAUAUAUGUUGACAUACACAUAUGAUUUAUGCAUGGAUGGAUACAAAGUCACUCUACCCAAUGCCUGCUUCAGAUCAUCUCAUGGACUUGUAUUAUCCAUGUUUAAAGAUCAUUGUGUUCCCCUUAUAUUUAAAAAAUUCAAACUGAAUUCAAUGAGGAGGCUAAAUAUUGGUGCAGAGGCAGCGAUGCAUGCAACUAAGCCUGAGCCUGUUGUAUUUAACAAUCACAAGAGCUGAAUCAAUGCUAAGCUGAAAAAUAUUGACUGGGAUAGUGAGAACAGAAGAAAAGGGAGACUUAUUCUCAACCCAAAGGCUGCUUGCCAGGGGAAGAGGAACAAUUGGCUUUGGCCCUCCAUGUAGUACCCUAAGCUAAGAGAGGGCAAAAUCCUGAGAAAUGCAUGGGGCCCCAUUUCAGGGAAAUACUCUGACUUCUCCGCCAACAUGUGAAGACAGAUCCAACUGGGAUGAUUUCCUUUCCAAUUAUGUCAAAAACAUAAGCAUCAGGUCACUUAACCUCCAUGACUCAUCCUUUCAUUAUACAACUUCAGGCUAAGUCUAAAUGAUCUCAAAGACCCCUUCUGACUCUAAAAUGCUAUGGUUCUGUGAUUGUAUAUAGACCUUAAAUAAAGGACAUGGGAAGCUAAUGACAGCCCAUUAGAAUGCAUAUUCUUCUUCUUUCAGGUAGUGUCUCUGCCUGUUUUGGUUUUUAUUUCUUUCCUCAGCCAAGUACUUGAUAAAUGCUUACUGAGCACCAUCUUCCAUCUUAUUCUGUCCUAUGUCAGACCUCCCUCUCUGAAAGAUGGCUAGUCCUAUUUUGCUAUUUAAUCUACUUAUCAUUCCUGUCAAUGUGUCUGGAUGAUUGCUCUCACUCUGUGUCUUCCUAUUGGAAGAAUUAAGUGAUUGUUGGGAGGAGACAACUAUAGAUGGGCCACAUGGCCUAAGCCAGGCUAGCAAUUGCCAUUUCCAAAAGCACCAGAACUAACUAGCUUGGUUUUUCUCUUUUGGUUUUAAGGGAAUGCUAAUAGGGUAAUAUUGAGCAAGAAAACUAAGAAUGAUGUUAAGAUCUGGAAACUUCCCCCCUUCUCUUUUAGGUAUUAACAAAUGUCUUCUC
rnacentral:lncRNA from 1 species